rnacentral:lncRNA from 1 species
UUGAGGUCGUGGCUACAUAACCAUGUCAUCCCCCUGCCUCAGCUCCUUCCUUACUCAAGGGAAUCCCCCUGCCUUAGGGUGACCAAAGCUGAGUGAUAGGGCUGGCCCAAGUACAAGGGCUUCUGCUCUGGCAACACCCUGGCAGGUGACCUGAACAGGAGGUCUAAACAGCUGUUUGGUGCCUGUCUAUUUGCAAUAGCUGUGGUCCUCUAACCUGUGCCUGUGAGCCACCAAGAGUGAACGGAAACUAGAAGCAUUGCCACCAACAACUGGAGCAGUGACCACACUGAAGUUUCUCUGUCGAGGGGGAAGGGGAGUAAGGAGAAAAAAAAAAAAAAAAGGCAAGUAAGCAAGCAAGCCAGCAAGCACAGGAGCACACUCUCGUGGAGGCCCACACCCUCCCUGUGCCUACCCAAGAUGUGUCAGUCAGAGAAGCAUCCAGGACCGGAGCUCCAAGCAGCAGCAAAAUGGUUGUACUUUCCCCAGCUGGCCCUAUGGCGGAGGCUAGGCCAGCUGAGCUGCAUGUCCAGACCUGCUCUGAAUCUGCGCUCCUGGCUGCUGACCAUCCUCCACUACCUCCUGCCCUUCCGUGUGCUCGGGCCCCACAGCCAGGUGGGAUGGAGGCCCCUGAGCAGGUUUGACAGAGCCAGAAUUAUUUAGAAAGAGGAACUCUCAACUGAGAAAUUGCCUCCAUCUGACUGGCCUGCAGGUAAGU